rnacentral:rRNA from 1 species
UUGGGUUCUAGAUCUGAGUAUAUCAAUAUUACCUUGUUCAGAACUUAAAGAGAAAUCUUGAGUUUAUGGACUUCAGGGGGAGUAUGGUCACAAGGCUGAAACUUAAAGGAAUUGACGGAAGGGCACACCAGGAGUGGAGCCUGCGGCUUAAUUUGACUCAACACGGGAAAACUUACCAAGACCGAACAGUAGAAGGAAUGACAGAUUAAGAGUUCUUUCAUGAUUUAUUGGGUAGUGGUGCAUGGCCGUUCUUAGUUGGUGGAGUGAUUUGUCAGGUUAAUUCCGGUAACGAACGAGACUGAAACCUAUUAAUUAGUUUUCUGCCUAUAAGACAGAAAUGUUCGCAAGAACAGGUGCGUAAGUACCACUUCUUAAAGGGACACAUUUCAAUUGUCCUAUUUUAAUUGUAGUUAUCUAAUUUCGGUA